ACUUGACUGCAAGUGGACCCAGAACUAGGGAAUAUCCCAGGCACAGAUUUUUUUUUUUUUUUUUUUUUUUUUUUGCCGAGGGACGUUUCAAAAUUUUGCACGGCCAGGGUGACAAAAAGAGGAUUUAAGACCCACAAGAAGUCCUCACAUGACCCAGACUUCGUUCCUGUGCAGCUUCCAGAGGUGUUGAUGCAGAAGACUGGAUGCAGGACCCUUGGUGGCACCAGUGUGCAGAUGAGCAGAUAGUGACUGAUUGCCACUGGGGCUAUAACAAAAUAUAAUAAACUGGGUAGCUUAGAAGCAACAGAAAUUGAUUUCUCAUCAUUCUAGAAGCUCAGAAGUUCACGAUCGAGGUAGCAGCAGAGUUGGUGCCUGCUCUGGAGGCUGGAAGUCCAACAACAGAGUGCCAGCAUGAUCAGGUUCUGGAGAGGACCCUCUUCCUGUUUGCAGACUGCUGACUUCUUAUUGUAUAUUCCGAUGGUAGAAAGAGAGCAAGAGAACUCUCUGGAGUCUUUUUUUAUAAGGGUGCUAACCCCAUUUAAGGGGGCUCCCCCUCAUAAUCUAAUUAUCUCUCAAAAGCCAUACCUUUCAACACCAUUGCAUUGAAGAUCUUUACCAUGCUGGAUUGGAAGAGAAAAGACCAUCAGUAAAGCAAAUGGAUCAAAUGGAGUUAUAAAUCAACUCUGUACUCUAGAGGAUUGACUCAACUGCAGACACCUUCAACACAUACCCUCAUGGCUUUAUUUUUUCUGCUUAUGUGGAAAAAUAACAGUAAAUACAGUUAACUAUCCCAAGACAGAAGAGUAUUAUUAAAAAAGAAUACAAUGUUAUUGAUUUUUCAAGACAUAAUCAGAUAUUUUUAAACUCUGAUUUAAUAAAACAUAAUGUAAUUUC